AUGUACAUUUUUAUAGCAUAGCGUUAAUGCACCUGAUCUUGUAAGAACUCUAAAGUUAAGCAUGCUAGGGAUAGAGUAGUACUGCGAUGGGUGACCUCCCUAGAAGUCCUAAUUAUUUACAUU
rfam:Picea glauca, whole genome shotgun sequence.